UACGUAGGGGGCGAGCGUUGUCCGGAUUUAUUGGGCGUAAAGAGCUCGUAGGUGGUUUGGUAAGUCGGAUGUGAAAUCUCCAGGCUCAACCUGGAGGGUCAUUCGAUACUGCCAUGACUAGAGUUCGGUAGGGGAGUGUGGAAUUCCUGGUGGAGCGGUGAAAUGCGCAGAUAUCAGGAGGAACACCCGUAGCGAAGGCGGCACUCUGGGCCGAUACUGACACUGAGGAGCGAAAGCGUGGGGAGCGAACAGG
rnacentral:rRNA from 1 species